rnacentral:lncRNA from 1 species
AUGCCAGUGUUCUAUUCCAUUCCAUGCCAGUGUUCCAUUCCAUUCCAUGCCAGUGUUCAAUUCCAUUUCAUGCCAGUGUUCAAUUCCAUUCCAUGCCAGUGUUCAAUUGCAUUUCAUGCCAGUGUUCAAUUCCAUUUCAUGCCAGUGUUCCAUUUUAUUCCAUGCCAGUGUUCCAUUCCAUGCCAGUGUUCCAAUCCAUUCCAUGCCAGUGUUCCAUUCCAUUUCAUGCCAGUGUUCCAUUCCAUUCCACGACAGUGUUCCAUUCCAUUUCAUGCCAGUGUUCCAUUCCAUUUCAUGCCAGUGUUCCAUUUUAUUCCAUGCCAGUGUUCCAUUCCAUGCCAGUGUUCCAUUCCAUUCCAUGCCAGUGUUCCAUUCCAUUUCAUGCCAGUGUUCCAUUCCAUUUCAUGCCAGUGUUCCAUUUUAUUCCAUGCCAGUGUUCCAUUCCAUUCCAUGCCAGUGUUCCAUUCCAUGCCAGUGUUCCAUUCCAUGUCAGUGUUCCAAUCCAUUCCAUGCCAGUGUUCCAAUACAGUUCCAUGCCAGUGUUCCAAUCCAUUUCAUGCCAGUGUUCCAUUUUAUUCCAUGCCAGUGUUCCAAUCCAUUCCAUGCCAGUGUUCCAUUCCAUGCCAGUGUUCCAAUCCAUUCCAUGCCAGUGUUCCAAUCCAUUCCAUGCCAGUGUUCCAAUCCAUUCCAUGCCAGUGUUCCAUUCCAUGCCAGUGUUCCAAUCCAUUCCAUGCCAGUGUUCCAAUCCAUUCCAUGCCAGUGUUCCAAUCCAUUCCAUGCCAGUGUUCCAAUCCAUUCCAUGCCAGUGUUCCAUUUCAUGCCAGUGUUCCAAUCCAUUUCAUGCCAGUGUUCCAAUCCAUUUCAUGCCAGUGUUCCAAUCCAUUCCAUGCCAGUGUUCCAAUCCAUUCCAUGUCAGUGUUCCAUUCCAUGCCAGUGUUCCAAUCCAUUCCAUGCCAGUGUUCCAUUCCAGCUCUAUUCCAGUUCCUUGCCAGUGUUCCAAUCCAUUCCAUGCCAGUGUUCCAUUCCAUGCCAGUGUUCCAAUCCAUUCCAUGCCAGUGUUCCAUUCCAGCUCUAUUCCAGUUCCUUGCCAGUGUUCCAAUCCAUUCCAUGCCAGUGUUCCAUUCCAUGCCAGUGUUCCAAUCCAUUCCAUGCCAGUGUUCCAUUCCAGCUCUAUUCCAGUUCCUUGCCAGUGUUCCAUUCCAGCUCUAUUCCAGUUCCUUGCCAGUGUUCCAUUCCAGCUCUAUUCCAGUUCCUUGCCAGUGUUGUCUGCAGCACUCUGCACUUUGUAGUGUAGUGUGCUUGUGUUUAGAUAGUCAAAAUCCUAGAUCCCACAUUCCCUGACAGAGGCAGAGCUAUCAUGCUCAGUCAUCAUCCUCUCUCUCUGUCUCACAGAAGGCCUUAUCCUCCCCUUCCUCUAUAAAUGCAAGCCAACGCAAAGCGUAAGAUUAGGCUCCCCUGACCUUUAACAGUGCUGAUAGCAGCCGCUGCGAAUGUCAGGGAACUCACAGCCGACACCAAACAAGGCUACUUCCCAAAUGGCACCCUGUUCCCUGCAUAGUGCACCUAGAGCCCAUAGGGUCUGGUCAACACUAGUGUACCAUAUAGGGAGUAGGGUGCCAUUGGGAACGCAUCCAUGCUUAGUUCACAGCACACAGCUAGAUUACAGAUAUCUGUGAUAGCAGGCAAAGAAAUUAUUAUCGGAAACUGACGUGAUAAUUACAGACGGUUGGAAAAAGGUUAUCGUUUAACACAGAAAGAGCCUCGAUGCUCCAGGAAAGCAGGCCUACUGCACCAAGCAGAGCAAUCAUAGAUUAUGUCUAGAUCAUAGACUGUCUGUGUCCCAAAUGACACCCCUUUUCCCCUAUAAAGUGCACUACUUUAGACCAGGGCUCACUUUGGUGCAAAGUAGUGCACUGCAGAUGUUAGCUCUUAAUUUGAUCCCCCUGCUGUAGCAGGAAACGCAAACUUCUGGUGUAUUCCAGGUUUAAAAAGGCGUCUUAAAUGUGUCAUUUCCACUUUAAAAUUUCAGACUUGAUUUACCGUAAAAAAAAAUGCAUCAACCCCUACAAAAAUGUCAUUAUAAUCCACAUAAGUCACAUUUCCUGUUGCUGCAGGAAUAUUUUCCUGAUGUGAUAAACUGGUCAAAUUAAGAUCCUACACAGGAUAAGGGUGCCACUUGGGAUGUAGACUCAAAAUGCUUCUAGGGGACUACUAUGGACAAAACUCUCCUUACUACAUAACCCUGUCUCUGACCAGUAGGCUGUUGAAGAACAAACCCUGUCUCUGACCAGUAGGCUGUUGAAGAACAAACCCUGUCUCUGACCAGUAGGCUGUUGAAGAACAAACCCUGUCUCUGACCAGUAGGCUGUUGAAGAACAAACCCUGUCUCUGACCAGUAGGCUGUUGAAGAACAAACCCUGUCUCUGACCAGUAGGCUGUUGAAGAACAAACCCUGUCUCUGACCAGUAGGCUGUUGAAGAACAAACCCUGUCUCUGACCAGUAGGCUGUUGAAGAACAAACCCUGUCUCUGACCAGUAGGCUGUUGAAGAACAAACCCUGUCUCUGACCAGUAGGCUGUUGAAGAACAAACCCUGUCUCUGACCAGUAGGCUGUUGAAGAACAAACCCUGUCUCUGACCAGUACGCUGUUGAAGAACAGAAUCAUAAUCCACAGUGGUAUAAAGUACUUAAGUAAAACUACUUUAAAGUACUACUUAAGUCGUUUUUGGGAGUAUCUGUACUUUACUAUUUAUAUUUUGGACAACUUUUACUUCACUACUACUUUUUACUGAAUACAUUUCCCCUGACACCCAAAAGUACUAGUUACAUUUUGAAUGCUUAGCAGGACAGGAACAUGGCCCAAUUCACACACUUAUCAAGAGAAUGUCCCUGGUCAUCCCUACUGCCUCUGAUCUGGAAGACUCACUAAACAGAGAACAUCCCUGGUCAUCCCUACUGCCUCUGAUCUGGAGGACUCACUAAACAGAGAACAUCCCUGGUCAUCCCUACUGCCUCUGAUCUGGAGGACUCACUAAACAGAGAACAUUCCUGGUCAUCUACUGCCUCGGAUCUGGAGGACUCACUAAACAGAGAACAUCCCUGGUCGUCCCUACUGCCUCUGAUCUGGAGGACUCACUAAACAGAGAACAUCCCUGGUCAUCCCUACUGCCUCUGAUCUGGAGGACUCACUAAACAGAGAACAUCCCUGGUCAUCCCUACUGCCUCUGAUCUGGAGGACUCACUAAACACAAAUGCUUAAUUUAUAAAUGAGGUCUGAGUGUUGGAGCGUGCCCCUGGCUAUCCGUAAAUACAUUUAAAAAACUAAAUUGUGCCUCUGGUUUGCUUAAUAUAAGGUAUUUGAAAUGAUUUAUACUUUUACUUUUGAUACUUAAAUAUAUUUAAAACCAAAUACUUUUAGAUUUUUACUCAAGUAGUAUUUUACUGGGUGACUUUCACCUCUAUAUCUUACAUUUACUCAAGUGUGACAAUUGGAUACUUUUUCCACCACUGAUCAUCCGCCAUGUUUUGUCUCUCCAAAAGGUUCCUGAGAAAAAGGCCUGUAAAGUUUAAAGAUAAAACGGCUAGAAAAUGAGUUCUCUAUGCAAUAUACAUUAAAGACAGAAGUGUGUUUAAUGUCAAAUUAAUCGUAGGAUUUGUUGUGAUUAAACACAAUUGAUGGCAAAUUCAGAAUUUGCUCAAAUGGAGAU